GAGCCCAGCGCUGAUUUAUGACCAGCCUGCUGAAAGCCCGUGGAAGCCGAGGUGGGGAGAGUGGCCAGCAGGUUGCCAAGCUGGCUGAUGACCCUCCUGGAAUGAGACAGGACCAUGGAAGACAUUUUUAAACAUUGUGUCAAGAAAGCAAAACCAAGGGAGGCACAAUCCCCCUCGACCUUGAUGCCGGAUUCGCACCUGCUGGCAGAAGGGAGGCCCAUGCAUCACCAACCCCCGUGUGCUGGUUCCCCGAGGCUCAAGGUCAUGAGAGGCUUGUUCCCAAGUCUGUGCCUGGAGGCGCUCAGCCACCCCUGGCUGUUGAGGCGGGAGGAGGCUGAGCCCUCGAGAUCCCAUGGUCAGAGUCCCGGCUCCCCUUCCUGCAUGAAGGGGUCUCUGUGGUUGCCCUGCCUGGACCACUUCCCAUUCCAGACUCCGACUCUUCCCUUGGACCAUUUCAAGGGAGGGACAUGCAGUGCUGGGGCUGGAAGGAUAAUAGCAACGGUAGCUGCCAUUUAUUAAGCACCAACUGCAUGCCAGCUUCUUUCCCAGCCAGGUCAUUGCAUGCCGCCGCUUGGCGGUGCUGACCAGAAUUUUGCUGUCCUUGUCAAAGACGUGGAAGGCCUCCCAGAUGUGGUCCUCGCUGUCGCCAGCCUUCACCUUCCAGGCCAUCAGGCCCAGGAGCUCGGGGAAACCCACAGGGCCCCUGCCGUCGCAGUCCAGUUCACCCACCACUUUCUGGAGCUCGGCCUUGGUAGGGUUCGGGCCCAGUGGCCACAAGACAGUGCCAAGCUCCUGCAUGGGAAUGGUGCUGUUGCUGUCUGAGUGGAACAGGGAGAAGGCCUCCUAGACCUCAGCUACUUGCUCCUUGCUCAGUUGCUUGGCCAUGACCAUUGCUAGGAGGUGGCUGGGCAUGCAGGGAAGUGGCCGUGUGUGUGUGGAGAUGGCCUUGUGCAUGUGCAGGUGGCCAGGUGCGUGGACAGGUGGCCGAGAGCACACGGAGGUGGCUGUGCUGCACGAGCCCAUCUUUCACCGGCACUUAAAAGCAGCCGGGUUGUCCCUCCCCUCGCAUGCUCCCCACCCUGCGGUUGCCUAGAGCCCAGGUCCUGUUGGGACAGGAGUCCAGGACCAGGCAGCAGGCUGGCCAGCUGGUUGCACUGAUGCCAGCAGCUCUGGGAAUGGCCAGACCCUUGUCCCUACUGGCCGGAGCUGCGGGGACAGCUUCAGAGAGGGUGGUGAUUCCCUUCCCUGCAGGAUCUAUUUGUGGUCUUCAGUCCCAUUUAUACAUUUAAGGAUUACUGCAGACUGUAAAGAGCCUUUAAAAAUGUCUAUCAAUAUUUUCUGUGUUUGACAUGAGAACUAAUAAAAUUUUAAUAUAUGUAAAUGU
ensembl:lncRNA